ACACUAUUUGUUCGUAUCGUUAUAAAGAAUAUAAAAAUAUAUACAAUGUUGCUUAAAAGGAAACACCUAACUCACAUUUUAAUCAAAUUUUGUUUAACUUAUAAUAUUAUAAAUACGUUUAUUAAGUUCCCAUUACACAGAAAUUAAUAUUUUCAAUCUUUAAUAAAGUGAAAAAUAGUGUGAUAUUUUCACUUAAGUCAAUAUAUUUAUCAAACAUUAAUAUUGUCUGUCUCACACAUGUAAAAUACUUGGAAAAUGUUUAAAUGUUUUGAUUUUUAAGAAGGUUACAGAUUUUAGUAUCAUACAUGAACAAUAUCAAAUAUUAAUGAGUGAAAUGUAGCGAUGGAUUGUAUCUAGCUAGCUGGAUAAGACACACGACAUGGUACUAAAAAUUUGUCUAAGAUUGAAGAUUCUUCGUCUAGAGGUUUUUUGGAGUGCAAUUGAUCAUGGCAAGUUUUCUUUAUAUUAGGAGCUUUUAUAGUCAUAUCCGGAACAGGGUUUGAACCGACGACCGGGAGGGGACCGCUUUCGCAUUGCUUCCUCCCAGCCGCCAAAUUCUAGAGUGAUACUCGCAUACAUAACAUAUUAUAUAUUAUUAUAGGUAUCGCCGUAUCGGUAGAUACAUUUGAGUCCACCAAAGUGUUUACCAAAGUGUUUAAUAUGUGGAGCGUGGAAAACGGAAACUAUACAAUGCAGGGCCAUGUUAUAUAACACGAACUACUUUUUCUCUCUCAAGUCGGUAGUGAUCUAAUUAUACCCAUCGGACAUCAUAAUAUGGUGUGCUGUCUAACGCGUUUGUAGGCCGUUCUUCUCUAAAUAAUAUGAUACAAUAAAUAUAUUAAAUUAAUAUAGGUAUAAUGUAUAUAUUAUUAUACAUUAUAAGUUUAUAACCUAAAAUCAUCAAUCAUCGUAGUAAGCCAAGUUCACGUGACGGUAGUAUAAUAUAUUUAAAUUGUAUAUACACUGGACGUAGUUCCAUAUAGUUACUUCCUAGUACCAUUCCAUUCGAGCAUUAUAGAUUAUCAUAUUAUAAUCCAUGGUCCAUACGACGACACCCGUGAUAUGUCACGUAUCCUCGACUCUAUUAUACUGUAUAUUAUAUUGUAACCAUCUACCUAUAACAUUUUUAACUCUUUUUUUUUAUUAUUCGCUCUCUUAUCGGUCGACAUUUGCCAACAAUGGCUUUGAGGGUCUACCGCAGUCGCAUUUUACCGACCGAAUCCGACAUUUUUAUUAUUUGAUUCGACGUAAUAUAGCUGUUAUAUAUAUGUAUAUAUAUUGGUACACCGACGCCACCCACGGCACGGCACUUACAAGGACCCUGACCGUGUACCCGCAAUACCGUAGUCGAGAAUUUACGUAUUAUAAUGUAAUAAAUUGUAUUAUGAUGAUUCCGAAAACUUUUCUUAAAAUAAAACUCUAACAAGUAACACGUAGCGGCUCCCAUGCAACACAGUGGCUGGAGGUUCUCUGAGCAACUCGUUUUAUAAUAUUGUAAUAUAACAUUUAAAAUGAGUCAACGCUGUUAUAGUAUUGUAUAUAUUAUUAUAUAUUCGACUUUAAACAUGGAAUUUUUUAGGCAAAAAUCGACAAAAACCGCGAACGUUGUAAACGCAUGGUACUCGGUGGUUUUGGAUUGUUUGAAACGAACGAAAUUAGUAUUUAAUUUCUAUGUAUUGUUUUGAGACUCAGCCACCCAGGUCAAGGUCAUAAAACAUAUUAUUAUUAGAUAGGUGAAACUACAUCAUAAUAAGUACACAAAGAUGCCGCAAUUUUGUUUUUCGUACGCAUUUUUACAAUUAAAAGUGUCCGUUCCUCUAAUAAAAUAUUCAUCACGCGUCCUUAGACGCCAAUUAAAAAAAUAUUUCAAUAAUACCAGUGGCGGCGCCAGGAAUUUUAUCUUGGGAGACCCGUUGGUGGCCUUUGAAAAUUUGAUAGGGCCAAAAAAAGUCAAUCCGUGGUCUUUUUCCCAUUCAUAGACUCAGUAUAGGGUAAAGGGCUUACUAUCUAUUGUAAAGAUUGUGUUGCAUAUACUAAGUUUUCAUUUUAACUGAUAAUAAAUAUCAUUUAAGUAUAGGUAUAUUAUUUAAUAUUU